UCCCAAGGGUUUGGCUGUUCGCCAAUUAAAAAGGUACGCGAGCUGGGUUCAGACCGUCUGGGAGUGAAAAUUAACUUUUUGACUCACAGACAAUUCUGAAUCACAGCAAACAUAACAGACAUCACAUUUUGGAAAAAAUAAUGAUACAAGUAAAAUCGAGUCUUUUCGUUUAAUAAAAAAUAAAAUUGUCAUGGUGGCCCUUAUGGGAAUUAUGACAAAUAGAUAGUAGUGCGCUUCAUCAGCGCACAUACCAACCAUGUCACGGCGGCACAUGAUAGAAAUAUUGUGUGUGAAGUCGACUGAUAUCGGUGAAAUCCCACUGCACAUGUGCAAGGACAAUACCGAGGGAAGGAUUAAAUUCUUAAUUGGAUUUGAUACCACCCGUAGAGACUACACGUCGAACAUCUUGAAAAAGAUGAAGAUAUAGUCCGAUCCUCACAGUAAUGUGAGUAAACAAAAUGCGUGAGACAGGUUGGUCUCCUAUCUACUGCGGGCGUUGAUUCUUGAAGAGAUCUGCUUCUAGUACGAGAGGACCGAAGUGGACUGACCUCUGGUGUACCAGUUGUUCCGCCAGGAGCAUUGCUGGGUAGCUAUGUUGGGAAUGGAUAACCUCUGAAAGCAUCUAAGAGGGAAGCCAACUUUAAGAUUAGGAAUCAUUUGAGAAUCGUGAGAGAUGAUCACGUUGAUAGGCUCUAUGUGUACGCACAGCAAUGUGUUCAGCAGAGGAGUACUAAUUAUUCGAAUUCCUAU
rnacentral:rRNA from 1 species